CCCACAGAGGGAGGAUUUAGACCAGCCCUAGCCAGAGAGUAAUAGCCCAUCCCAGCAGUCAAAACCUGAAUUCCAGCAACUCCUGCCACCAUGAGGUCCGUCCUGACUUAGCGUGUUUAAUAGCCGCAGCCUCACUGUCAGCCUUGCCUUCAAACCUGGACCCAGUGGCUCAGGAUGGUUGCAAAGCUUCCACAACCACCACCCCCCACCCACCCUGCAUUCCAAGAUUCCUUGAAGACCAACUUUAAGGGCACUCAUGACAGGUGGCAAUUAAACAGUAAGAAAGCAUCUGGCAUAAAUUAAGUGAACAGAUCACCAAAUCAUUUGGAAAACAACACAUUUAUUUGGCACUGAUUUUGGCAUUUGGAGGGAACACACUUAGGAGUAAGGGUCUGCAUCCAAGAAGCUUACAUUCUAAGAGAGAAAAGAAGAUAAAGGUAAAUAACAAUGGAAGGCAAAAUGGAAAGAUUGUAAGGGUGGUUCAAAAGGCUCUGAGUGGCAAAAAAAAGAGAUCACAUCUU